GGCAAUAUUAACUUCUCUUAAGUGUUCCAAUAUAGUAAAUUUAGAAACAUUCACAAAUAAAAAUUACAAGUUAAAACCUAUUUCUCAAGUAUGCAUUUUAUUUUAUUUUUUUAAGAUUUUAUUUAUUUAUUCAUGACAGACAGAGAGAGAGAGGCAGAAACACAGGCAGAGGGAGAGAAGCAGGCUCCAUGCAGGAAGCCCAAUGUGGGACUUGAUCUCGGGUCUUCAGGAUCACAACCCAGGGUGAAGGCAGCGCCAAACCACUGGGCCACCGGGGCUGCCUCAAGUAUGCAUUUUAAUUUGAAAUUAUAGGCUACCAUUCCAAAAGGCUGAAAUUUGCUCAUUUUAAGCAAAUACAAUGCUAAAUAUGAGCAAAUUCUUCCCUAACACACAAACAUUAAUGUUAUAAUUUUGAGUCUUAAGCACUUAUAUACCUAUUUUAAAUCCUAAGGUUAAAAAAUGCAUACCCAUUAAAGAAAACAAUCACAAUCUCAACUGAGAUUAAUCAGAGAUUUGAUAAGAGUGAAUAGACAUAUGGGUGGAUAUGUGUGUGUAUGUCAAAGUGCCAAUUCCCAAUGUUCGUAAGCCAGCAAAUAAUUAAGAAAUAUUUCUACAUGUUGAUGCAUUCCCCAGAAUACUCAAUCGUCAAAAGCUGCUACAAAGAAUGUCUCUAUUUCCUAUGCUGCACAUUGUUUGUAUCCACAUGUCUCACAGUUAUUCUGUUUAAUACAAAUCCUUUAGCUUUCUCUUUAAAAGCAAGGUCCAUGGCACCACACUUGCCCAAUGAGAAUGAAUCUCCCUCCUCUGUGCUUCUGGAAAAUGUUGUUCUCUUAUACCAGUUAGCACCUUCUGCUUCAAGCAACAUAUUUAGUUGAAUUUAUGUGUUACUCUCCUCUCUGAACUGUGUGAAUUCCUUAAUGCAAAGGCUGUUUCAUGCUUAACUUUUGUCCCAAAAUGUAUCAUGCAAACACAUUCAUUUUGUAGUAGCUUAUAGCAAACAUAUUUUUAUUUGAAUUGUAAAGAUUUUAUGAUUAGUGUUUAACUAGGAAAAAAUAAGAAUUGUAUGUUGAUUCAGACUACCCAUCAGAAAUAAGGGGCAAAAAGCCUCAGCUGAAAUGACCAUUAUAUGAUUUUGCACAGGCAAGUAAUCACAAAUAGAGAGGCAGCACAGUACAAGGCUAAAAGCAUGGUCAUUCAAUUUUCUGGGUAUAAAUCCUGACUCUUCCAUUUACUAACUUGUAUAAGCUACUUAACCUCUCUGUGAUUCAGUUUCUUAUUCCAUACCAGGCCUAAUUAAAACUCUUAAUCCUCAUAUGAUUAUGAGGAUUAGAUAAGAUACUACCUACAGAGCACCUGGAUUAGUACCUGUCAUGGAGAAUGAAAACCAUGGCAUGGCACAAAACACACUUAGAUGUUGUCCUCUGUGGGCAGACAGCAAGUGUUCAAUAAAUGUUACCUAUUCUUAUUAGAUCA
rnacentral:lncRNA from 1 species